CUAGAGUUCCAAUGUAUUUCCUUACAUAACGUGUAAACCCUCUGCAUCUGUCUCUCUCUCUGUCUCUGUCUCU